rnacentral:tRNA from 1 species
AAAGGCUUAGGAUAAACUUAGACCGAAGGCCUUCAAAGCCUUAAGCAGAUGUAUAAUCGUCUAGCCUUUG